UGAGUCUAAAAACUUAGUGGACUUGAUGACUGUAAAGUGAUCUGGCUGAUGAGAGUAGUUCGGCUCCAAAAUCGUUUCGGUACCCAGAUCCAGAUCUAAUAUAAAGUGACAUCUUUCUACGUCAAACUGAAACAGAUAUCAACUCACUUAUUUGAUGGGAAAAAGAAGCUACUAGGAAAACGGUACCAUUCCUUUCCAACACAAAAGUUGAUAUUGACAUCUGUAGGAACUUGACCCUCCGAACCAAGUUUGUUGGCCUCCAUCAUAAUCUCCAUUGUUAUAGCUCCAGCCAGACAGAUCAUUGGAUAUAUUGGAAAUAGGAAGCGUUCUUCCUAAAAAUACAUGAAGAAAACUCGAAUCAUAAAAUAAGGCAAAUAUAAAGCUUUGAAAUAGGUUGUAUAUAGUGUUACCUUGUGCGACUGAAGGAAAAAAACUAAAAUCCAAAGAUAAAGUGGCGCUAAUGAAUACCAGUAUGGCAAACACAUUCGAUUUCUGGGUCGUGCUGGUACGACAGUCCAGACUAAAAACUAUGCAAGAUUUUAUGAUGAAAGAUGUUAAAUUUUACAAUUUUUUAUUAAUAUUUCCCAUAUUUAC